AGAGAUGCAGCACGAUGAGGUUAUCUGGCAAGUCAUUCGGCACAACAUUGUAGUUAUAUGGCCAAGAUUACCACUGGAAUAUUUUGUCGAAAUGAAUACAACGUAACAGGGAUUUGUAAUAGGAGCUCCUGCCCUCUAGCUAACAGCCGCUAUGCUACUAUCCGUGACCAUGACGGUGUCUUUUACUUGUAUAUGAAUUCAAUAGAAAGG